UGGUGGAGUGAUUUGUCUGGUUGAUUCCGUUAACGAACGAGACCUCGACCUCUAGUUAGUUUCAUACAAAUCUAUUUGUAUUGAAAUUUUCUGAAUUGGGACUAUCGGUGUGUAGCCGAUGGAAGUUCGAGGCAAUAACA
rnacentral:rRNA from 1 species